AUGCACCCGCGCGAGUCAAGGGGCAGGAGGCAGAGGGCCUCGGAGGGCUGGCAGGAGCCCUGGGGGCAGAGCGGGCGCCCACGUGGCCCCCUCGGGGCAGCUGCGGGGCCUAGCGAGCCCGCUCGACCUCGGGGCCCCCACGGAGGCCGGCGGGGCGCGAGGCCGGGGCGCCCACGGCCAGGGCGCGCCAGGCCCGGGCAGCCAGGCCGAGGGGCCCGCGGGGCCGCGCUCGAGGCCCCGGCGCCGCCGCCCCCGCCUCCCCGCGCCCGCGCCCGCGCCCGCCCGCCGCCCCGCGCGCCCCGCGCCCCCCGGCCCGCGGGCGCGCACCCACCCCCUGCCCGGGGCCGGCCCCGCGCGGUCAAGCCCGGGCGCCUGGGCCGCGGCGCGGACGACCUCCGGAGAGCGCGGCGCCGCCGGCGGCUGCUGCUGCGGCUGCGGCUGCGGCUGCGGCUGCUGCUGUCGUCGUCGCGGCGGCGGCGGCGGCGGCGGCUCCCAUGCUACGGGCGUGUCCGCGGCAUCCCCGCCGCCGGGGGCUGCGUGUGCGUGUGCGGAGCCGCGGCCCGGGCCGCCCCGCCGCCGCCCCGCCGCCCCGCCGCCCCGCCGCGCGCCCGGGCCCCGCGCCUCCCCGGCCGGCCGGGCGGGCGGCGCGCUCUAGGCCGCGGGGCGGCGGGCAGCCUCGCCGGGGCCUACGGGGCGCUGCGGGCCGGCGGCGGCGGCGGCGGCGGCGGCGGCGGCGGGGCCCGAGCGGCAGCGAACAAAAGGGAGCGGCGGAGGGGGAGGGGGCGGCCGGGGGAGGCCGGCGGGGGAGGGAGGGCGCGGGCCGGGAGGCCGGGAGGCGAGAGCGCGAGGCCCCGAGCGCUGGGGCCGCGGGGGUGCGCGGAGGCUGCUCGUGGGCUUGCUUUGUUUUUCUUCUUUCUUUCUUUCCUUUUUCUUUUUCUUUCUUUCUCUCUCUCUUUUUUUUUUUUUUCAAACGACAUUUCGGGCUCUCACCCAGCCCUUUGCCGUGGCCCCAAGCCGCAACUUACUCGAGUGGAAGGAUGCAAGGCCUCGCCAAAGAUGGUAGAGAGAGCCCGCGAGCCUCUGCCCAGGAUCUUGAAGCCAAGGUGGUGUUUUGUGAUCCUCGUAAUGGUGGCAAACCAGUAA
rnacentral:lncRNA from 1 species